rnacentral:rRNA from 1 species
UCCGUAGGUGAACCUGCGGAAGGAUCAUUACUGAUUUGCUUAAUUGCACCACAUGUGUUUUUCUUUGAAACAAACUUGCUUUGGCGGUGGGCCCAGCCUGCCGCCAGAGGUCUAAACUUACAACCAAUUUUUUAUCAACUUGUCACACCAGAUUAUUACUAAUAGUCAAAACUUUCAACAACGGAUCUCUUGGUUCUCGCAUCGAUGAAGAACGCAGCGAAAUGCGAUACGUAAUAUGAAUUGCAGAUAUUCGUGAAUCAUCGAAUCUUUGAACGCACAUUGCGCCCUCUGGUAUUCCGGAGGGCAUGCCUGUUUGAGCGUCGUUUCUCCCUCAAACCGCUGGGUUUGGUGUUGAGCAAUACGACUUGGGUUUGCUUGAAAGACGGUAGUGGUAAGGCGGGAUCGCUUUGACAAUGGCUUAGGUCUAACCAAAAACAUUGUUUGCGGCGGUAACGUCCACCACGUAUAUCUUCAAACUUUGACCUCAAAUCAGGUAGGACUACCCGCUGAACUUAAGCAUAUC